GAAAUUGAAUUAAUUUUUAUUUACCUUUCUUCUUUGUUUUUCUUCUUCUUUUUUUUUUUUUUUUAUAGCAGCCUUCAGAACCCUUGAGGGAACUUCUGAGGACCUUGGGACUUAGCCAAGCAGUGGGUGCUUACACAUUGCAUGUACUGUCACCCCUGUACAGAGCUUUAAAUAAUAGAGUCAUAGAAUGAUUAAGGUUGGAAAAGACCACUAGAAUUACCUAGUCCAACCCUUAACCCUUCCCCACUAUGCCCAGUAAGUCAUGUACAUAUAAUACAAUACAGUAUCCCACAUCAUUUUACAACUGAUCCACAUACGUUACAAACGAAUGACACCCUAAUAAGAGAAGCAAACAGUGAAACCUUUAAUAUUUCCAUAAUCUCAGCGGGUCUACAUUUUGUGUGCACAUUGUAACAUUGCAGGAUAGGCUAAUGAUAAGAAAGUAAUAAUGCCAUGUGAAAUUUGGGAGUCCUCUGACCUUCAGACAGCCCAUGUUCUUAUUGUUUCCAAAACCAAAUAGAUCCAUCAAAUUUUCCAUUCAUUACCAACAACCAAAUGCUGUUGCAAAAACUGAUGCAUACCUGACAUCCAGUAGCAUGACGUAUGGAGUAAACUGGAACCAGUGUUGGCUACAAACAACUCAAAAAACACCAGCAGCAGCCCAACUCUUACAGUGUUACUUGAGCCACAGAGGAUGAGCCUGAUGCCUGGAAGGAGAUAUGGGGAUGAAGGGAAUGCAGGAUUUACAUGAAAGGAAGAGUAUGAGGGAUUGAGGCAGCUGCCAAAUGGGUGUCAGGUGACAAGUUUGAUUUCCACCCCUGUGUGCGCUCCGCUAUGUGGCUGGUCCAGCUGACCAAGCACUGUGCUUCAGUGGCUGUCAGCCUCCUACAAGCAGCUGUGUUUUACAUGUCUGUUAACGUUUGCAAAUGUCUAGCUGCAUUUUCUGAAACUCCCCAUUAAAUGUUAGCUUGAGUGUGUUGAUCAGGAAGGACAACUCUACGUGGUUUGCAAGCGACCCUCAUGUUUCACCCCUGCAGCAGAGCCCUAUGGUUGCUGGUGCUGAGAUUUGAGCACUGGGCUUGCCAGAGGCAAAGUGCCCUUGGCAUCUGCUGGCCCCUUCUGUGGGUUCCACUGCAAGCAAUAAUUGAGCUUUUAUGUUGCUGUUGACCUCCCAAGUUAAAUUCAGGCAACAUUAUCUGGCAAAUCUGAUGUGUCAAGUUUCAAAGAAAACAGUUUUCCAGCUCAGUCCAGGUCUGAUUUUCUUCCAGAUAAAGAGCAAAACCCUUUGGGAACCCAGUGCUGCCUGGAAUUAAGGUUAAGAGCAAUAAACUUUCCUCUUUACUACCA
rnacentral:lncRNA from 1 species